AGAAGAAUGGGUUAACCAACUGAGGAAAGCCUUUAAGUCAGUUUUUGAUUACUCUUAGCAAAUAGUUUUUAUACAUAUAGCUGGGAAAUGUACAAUUCUUUGUUCAUAUCUAGUAGAAUCAUGGUAGAUUCCAUAUAGCUCUCUGUUAGUAAUGACGAUCCUCUGGGAUUGCAGGGCUACUGAAUGCUGGAACCAGGUCUCUUAACCCCAGGGACUGACUACUGUGGAGAGUAAGUAUGGGUAUAUUGAGUAUUUUGAGGGUUUUGUGAGAAAAGAAAGGGAAAAUGAGAGAAGUUUUCAGUGAGGAGCAGUAGCUCCAAAGCCAUUCUCAUGCUUCGUCUCACCUACCAACCUCCUUGCACAAACUAGUGAAAGUCAUCUCUCUGUUUCUCCUGUUUUAAGAACAGCUUGCUCUUUAAAAAGUUUGAUGCUUUAAAAAAUUUAGAACAAUCUUAUGAUUAAAAGUUUAAACACUUGUUAGUAAAAUGUACCAGGAUGUCUCAGUGCUUACCAAGUCCACUCCUUGUAAUCCUUGUGUUCAUAAGAAAGCCUCCAUGUACCCUCUGUGGGUCAGACCUCAUGCUGAAUGCUUUAUGUGAACCUUGGUCAGCUUGCCAGGUGAAGACUUACCUUAGAGCGGAGGAAACUGGUACUCAGAAACCGGUACUGCCCCGAGGUUAUAUUGAUGUUGUCAGAACUGGAAUCCUAGCUCAGUUCUACUUUUUCUCCGAAGUCCAGUGGUGUGGUUGUGCUCUGAGGCUGGAGAAUGGAAGAGGGACAGAAGCCUCAUGAGUGCACUUGCCUAUCGCAGCCCUUUUUCCUGCUGUCUCAUCUACCCAUGGACCACCCAUGCCUCAGAGUGAGCAAGAAGACAUGGCCAAAAGUCUGUGGGUUCUGUACAGAUGUGCAAAGUUUGUAUUCAUUUCAAACCCUCAUUUGCCAGUCCUUUUAUUAGUUUCCUUUUGCUGCUCUGACAAAUUAUUACAAGCUUAGUGGCUUGAAAUCAUACAGAUUUAUCUUACACUUCUAUGUAAAGUCUGCUGGGUAUCUCUGGUGUUAGAGGGUGCAUUCCUUAUCUGGAGGCUUUGAAAGUAACUCAUUUCCUUUUGUUUUCCAUCUUCUGGAGGCCACCUGCCUGCUUUGCCGCAUGGCACCUCUCUCCGUCUUCCAAGUCAGCAACAUGAGUUUUACUCUCUGCCAUGUCUGACCCUUCGUAUUUCUUGUUCCACUUUUAAUGACCCUUGUGAGCACAGUGGGUCUAUAGUCCAGACAGUCCAGGGCAAUCCUACUUUAUGAUCCACUGAUUGGCAACUUGAAUUCCAUCUGUGACCUUAAUUCUCCUUUCCCUGUGUAACCUAGCAUAUUUACAUGUUCCAGUGAUGGAGAUUUACAACUUUGAGGGCCAUUAUUUACAUUAUUAAUUUGCUUAAAUUAUAGUGAAUGAGAUCUUAAUUACAAGUCUUGGAGUUAUAAAACAUCUCAGUUCGUCGCUCAGUCGUGUCCGACUCUUUGCGACCCCAUGAAAUGCAGCAUGCCAGGCCUCCCUGUCCGUCACCAACUCCCAGAGUUCACUCAAACUCAGGUCCAUUGAGUCGGUGAUGCCAUCCAGCCAUAUCAUCCUCUGUCGUCCUCUUUUCCUCCUGUCCCCAAUCCCUCUUUUCCAAUGAGUCAACUCUUCACAUGAGGUGGCCAAAGUACUGGAGUUUCAGCUUUAGCAUCAUUCCUUCCAAAGAACACCCAGGACUGAUCUCCUUUGGUAUGGACUGGUUGGAUCUCCUUGCAGUCCAAGGGACUCUCAAGAGUCUUCUCCAACACCACUGUUCAAAAGCAUCAGUUCUUUCGCACUCAGCUUUCUUCACAGUCCAACUCUCACAUCCAUACAUGACUACUGGAAAACCAUAGCCUCGACUAGAUGGACCUUUGUUGGCAAAGUAAUGUCUAUGCUUUUGAAUAAAACAUCUAAGGCCAUGUAAAUGCUUAAAAAUUAAGGAAAAAUACAAACAGAAGAAAAUGGAGUGACAAGCUUCUUGAAUAUUAACAUGUUUUUGUAUGUGUGGUAACAUAAAAGUCAAGUGUUGAUUAUGUUUAUUGCACUUUGUGGUCAUUAGUAAGUGGCAACCUGACCUAAAGUUUUCGAGGGAUCUGAGGAGAUGAAUAUAAUGCAACUGAUGUGUUCAUACAUUGAACUGUUUGCUUUAAUAAGGCCUGGUUCUUCUUCAGCAAGGUGCUAGAAUGCACAGAACUUGAUUUAUGCCCAGUGACUGUUAAAAAUACUGAAAACAGCUAUAUGUAACUUCACCAGUUAACAAGUAGUUUGUUUCCCAAAGCAAAUCAUGAGUAAAAUUGGUUACUGCUAUUAUGAAGGUGCCAAACACCCUGAUGUUUUGAUUUGUUUCAUGAAGAAUUUCAAUAAUGUGUAGAGCAAGAGGGUACAUGAAUGUGUGAGUUGAAACAAAAAUUAUGUAAAUAGAAGUGCAAUUUCUUGGCUAAGGUGUUUCAGCUUACUUUAAAAAAUGUUCUCCUGUUUAUAUUCAACACUUUGGUUACAAAAGCAUCAUGCCAUUUGUAGUAAAAUUAUCUGAAAGGAAUUACUUUUGUUUUGUGCUGGAAAAGCAUGUCACACAGGAAAUCAUCCUCAACACCGUCAUCACUUUAGGAUAGCAAAAACAAAUAAUGUUGAUAAUUUACCACAGGAAAAUUUGGAUUUUAAGAUUAACCAUUUUGACAUGAAUUUUACCUGCAGACUCUAGGUUGCAAUUUUCAGUCUUGUGCCUAUUCUUCAGGCAUUUGCUCAGUUCUUGGAAUUCAGUGGUGAGUAGUACCCUGUUCAGUGCUUGCAGUGAGGUGUAGAAGGCAUCUGAAUGUAAGAUGCCAGCUGUGAGAAGCAGCUUUGAAGCAGCAGUUCUCAAAGAACUAGUUUCAAGACCCCUUUACACUCUUAAUAAUUAUUGAAACCUCUAAAGAGCUUUUGUUUUUAUAAAUUGUCUAUACUUAGCAUAUUAGAAAUCAAAAUUUUAUUAUGAGCACUUUUUUAUUUUUUAAAUUAUUAAUCUUAAUUGGAGGCUAAUUACUUUACAGUGUUGUGGUUUUUGCCAUACAUAGACAUGAAUCAGCCACGGGUGUACAGGUGUCCCCGAUCCUGAAUUCCCCUCCCCCAUCCCUCCCCAUCCCAUCCCAUCCCAUUCCUCUGGGUUGUCCCAGACAACCAGCUUUGAGUGCCCUAAUUGUAAAAAUAAAUACUUGUUUGACAGUAAUCUCAUUCUGUGUUAAUAACAUUUUAUAUAAAAUAACUUCCAAGCUAAGUCAAUUUAGUUAACAGGUGGUUUUCAUAUUUGUACAUCUCUAAUAUCUGAUAACCGCUGGACUCUCUUCUGCAUUUAAUGUUUAGUAGUAAUGUCAUUUUGUUCGAAAUAUGAAGGAAAUUUGACUUCCCACCAAUUUUUGUUGAGAAAGGAAUCACUCUCUUUGUGGAUCCCGUGAAAAUAUCUAGGGGUCCUCGGGGGUCCUUCAGCUAUACUUUGGGAAGUGACUCUUUAAAGAAAAACCCAAUGUGAAGGGUGUGUGGUUUAGGCGAAGCCUUCAUAACCUUCCUAGAACAACUUUCUUGCCUUUAUGCAUAAAAUGUGUACCUUUAAAAGUCAGCUAUCAAGAAUUUAUUUAGAGCAUUUGUGAUCUCAAUAAUUCCAAAGUUAAAUGGUAUGGAUUAAGCAAAUUUAUGGCAGUUUUUCAGCAUGUGUUGGAGUUGUGUGGUUUCUGUUACAAAACCUUUGAAUCAAUGCAUAGACAUUCUGCAGUUUUGCCUUACAUUAUAUUUUGCUCACACACUUUCGAAUGUUGAUGGUAAUAGUAUGUAUGGGGGCAUUUGUAUCUUAUCAAAUGACACGAAAGUUCUUAGCUUUGAUUCUGGAGCUUUUCUAAACUAGCUUUCUGAUUGCAGUAUAGGGGCAAAAGUAAGUAAAAAAAAAAAUCUCAGAUUCUGCAGUGAUAAACUGUUCACCUAGCUUCUUUGUAUAGACUGGAAUCUGAACAGGCAGAUUUUGCUUUUUAAUAGCACUUGGAAGUUAAAUGUGCAUCAAUCUUAGGUGUGUAAAAAUCUUUUCUCCAGUUAAUAGAUAAUUACAGAGUUUUUCUUUUCAACUUUACACAUGCUCCUUAUUACUAAGAUUUUUUUCCUCCUCACUGUCCUGUUCUACCUGGUAGUACUUUCUGUCAGUCAUGUGUUGUCAGGUGGUUUUUUCGGUGGCAAAAUUAUUGUAAAUCCCAAACUGAAAAUGUUAAGUAACAACAGCAAUGAUAACUACCUCCCGGUCUAAGUGGAGGGGGGGUGCAAAUGUUGUUCACAAUUAUGUUAGUAACAGAUGUAUGGGCAAAAUGGACUUCCCCAGUUAUGCUUUUAAAGGUACAGAUAUCAGGACAAAAAUUUUCAAUAACAUUAGUCAGAACCUGUUUUAAGCUCAAUUUGGAGACCUGUAGAAUUGAAUAGUUAAACGUAAAUGUUUAACUUAAAAAUUUGAACAGUUAUAUAAGUACAUGGCUUAAAAUGUCAAGAAAUUCUACAAAGUUUAUAAACAAAACCCAAAGUAACUGCUUUCAACUGUUAAGACAUUUCUUAGGAUAUUUGCCUUUAUAUUUGUGAGUGACAUGUAUAUGCUUUUUUUUUUUUUUACUUAAAAAACGAAUAUCUUUUGAUAACUUGCUGUGGAAGACAAGGAUUUAACCUUUACAAGCCAACUCUCCUUUCUCCCAUUUUCCGCCUCCCCACAAUCACUCUGGUUUUUGGCUUAGGUCCAUAUUCAAAUUUCACAUUACUUCAGUUGUAACUAUUCAUAGCUGAGCCGUGUAGUAGACUAUGAUAUUUCCUUUCUUAAUAACUUAAAUUUUUCCUUUGGUUAAUACCUUUUACCUUUUUCUUAUUUUUCUUUGUAUCACUAAUUUAUUCUCAUCUAAAUUUCAUUUAAAAGCAAUUUACAGAUGAAUAAACACCAAUGGAGUGAAAACCAGGACUCAGAUAAAUUGGAUGUUGGAUAAAAUGAUCAAAGUCUUUUCUUCAGCUAUAUUUUAUAAGCUUAUAUAAAAAGAACUGUUAACAUUUAAACUAUUUUAGGUAAUAGUAAACAGUUGAUUCGAGUAAACGGUAUGCCAGAGAAAUAACUAUCAAUACAUAUAUAUAUAAUAUUUAAAUUACUAAUUUGUUAACCUAAUCUUGUUCAUCAGCAUUACAAACAUUGUAUCCUGAUUUAAUUAACUCGAUUUUUUUUUUGUAUCCUGAAAAAAAUACAUCUUUAAUUUUGCCAGCAGAAUUUCUUUUAAAAAUCUCUUGAGUAACAAUAUUUACCUUUUGGCCACAUUCAAAGCCUCCUAGAUAACAAAUACCUUCAUAGUUUAGAGCAGCACAUUUUUUGUUUGUAUCAGUAUCCUCAGAAUUAGGUUGUCAUCUAGGUAGGCUUUAAUAAGUGUCUGAUUUUGAAUUAUGAUUAAAUGGUGCUAUUUAUUACAACAGAAUGUCCCAUUGUUAUAAAUCAAAGAUACAGAGAUACUUUCUCCUAAGUUAACUGCUAUUUUCAAGGUCUGAUUGUGGAGGCCAAUUGCCAGAAAACCAUUUUCAUUUUGAGCUUUUCCUAUCCAUACAAUUAAAACUUCAGUUUCAGUAGUACCAAAGUUUAAGGAUAUAGUAGUGAACUGAAGAUUUCUCAGUCUGUAAUCUGGAUCAAUGUAUUUAAUGUAAGGAUUAGUCAUGAAUUUUGCAGUUGAAAAGGAAGUAUUGUUUUCACAAUACCUUCCCACCCAACCCAGAGCACAAACAACUGUAAGAAAAUAAUUGUUGAGGUAUACAUAGAGAUUGGUGGAGGCAAAGAUUAUUCAAACAGUACAGACUGGUCACAUGUGUUUCCAGCCCAAUGUGUCAAGCAGCUGCAAGAAAAAGUAGUGCCAUUUACUAUACAUUUACCCCUAUUUUUGCACACAUCAUAUCCAAAGGCUGUCCCAUCACUGUCACCUACAUUUGAGCCACCUUUUGCUCCUAAUUCAGGUAAUUGUAAUUCUUGAUUAUUUAUAAUAACUUCCCAGACACAACCUUGAAAACCUAUGGGUUCAUUUGCUGUUGCCAUGGGAUUUACAAAAUUUAAGGAUGAUGUUUUUUCAAUGUAAAAAUCAGUAUGUAUGUCCAGGGAAGCUCGUUUUAGUCUUGAUGUUUUCUGUUACAUUUAUCCCAUCCAUAUCCAGGUAGCUUUCUGCACCAUCUCUUCCUGCUUUAAUCACAUGCCAAGUACUUCUAUUAAUAGUACUUUUUGGAGAGUUUCUAGAAGGAUGGUUCUGUCACCAGGAUUGUAGCUGCUUUGAACAGAACUAUUUACUAAAUAAAUACAUAAAAAAUCACCUCCCUCACUUCAUUAGAGCAGUUCUUCAGAGUGAUUUCAGAGUCCUGGCUCCUAGGUUUGAAGUCCUCAGAAAAUCCAUCAAAUAAAAGUGGAGAAAGAAAAAACAUUAAGAUAGUUACUCACAUAUCCUGUAUUCGUUUGUUCUGGAGUUGGCCACAUAUAUUAUCCCUAUUUGUAAAUGUUUCACAGUGAAGGAGUUUAUUGUACCAAGUUAAAAUGAGGUUUUUCUUUUAACUAGUUAAGGGUGAAUGUGUAAAGCAAUAAAUUGGAUACUUUAUUCCAAGGCACUGAUGCUUUUUUUGAUAAACUGCUGGGUGAGGAGGGAUAAGUGACUGGAAAAAAAAUGCACAAACUAAAAGGUGAGAAUUCUGUUUUAUUUGAUGGAUUUUCUGAAGACUUGAAACCUGGGAGCCAGGACUGUGAAAUCACUCUGAAGGACUGAUAGAGUGAGAGGGCCAACCUGGAUGUAAUCAACGAAGACCAGGUAGUCAGAACAUCAGAAGAGUACUGUUAAAGAAAACCCGACAUCUCAAGGAAAUAAGUGCUUUUCUAUGUAUGGGAGGAUGCAAGAGUCUGGGCUCACUGAAAUCAUUCCUUUGAUACGCUUGUCAGCUAUCUGGGGCCAGUAUCCUGGUAUCCUGUCCUCAUCCUGAGUCUUUAGCGUGCACUGUUGGUUCAGGGAGGAGGGGUGCGGUGGUGGUGGUGGUGGUGGCAGCUGCAUCAACUGAUGGCUAGGCGGUGGGCAUCCUGUACAGAGCUCGCCUAGGGAGGCUGUCGUGUGAUGGCUGGAUGGUUGCACCAUCCUGUUUACUGACAGGUAGCAGCAUUUCUCCACAUAACAGCCGUUAGUGGUGGUGCUCUGAAAAUCCUGUAUCUUGGGCUUUCCCAAAGUUUCAACCAUGCUCUUGACAUCAAGUUCUAUCUACAAGUACACAAACCUCUAGUUGAACUCUGCUUGAGUUAUUUUAAAGGUACCUCAAGCUCCAAAGUUUCUCUCAAUGUGUGAACUUCCUUCCAUACACCUGGCCUUUCCAAACUCAGUCACUCAAUCCACCCAAUUUUCAAAUUUAAGUGUGAUCAUGGCCAACCUAGAUAGCAUAUUCAAAAGCAGAGACAUUACUUUGCCGACUAAGGUCCUUCUAGUCAAGGCUAUGGUUUUUCCUGUGGUAUUAUAUGGAUGUGAGAGUUGGACUGUGAAGAAAGCUGAGCGCUGAAGAAUUGAUGCUUUUGAACUAUGGUGUUGGAGAAGACUCUUGAGAGUCCCUUGGACUGCAAGGAGAUCCAACCAGUCCAUUCUGAAGGAGAUUAGCCCUGGGAUUUCUUUGGAAGGAAUGAUGCUAAAGCUGAAACUCCAGUACUUUGGCCACCUCAGGCAAAGAGUUGACUCAUUGGAAAAAGACUCUGAUGCUGGGAGGGGUUGGGGGCAGGAGGACAAGGGGACAACAAAGGAUGAGAUGGCUGGAUGGCAUCACCGACUCGAUGGAUGUGGGUUUGGGUGAACUGAGGGAGUUGGUGAUGGACAGGGAGGCCUGGUGUGCUGCAAUUCAAGGGGUCGUGAAGAGUCAGACAUGACUGAUUGGACACGACUGAGCGACUGAAUGGAACUGAUGGGUGUAUAUAAUCAAAUGGAUUUUACUAACAUUUUGUUCAUUGUAAACAUGUUUUUUCUGUCCGCUUCUCUCCUGCCACUUUAAAUUUACUAUCCUCUCUAGCUUAAUUUUUUGUAUUUUAUUGUUCAGUUUGCUCAUUUCAAAGUAUUAAAUCUUCAGCAGAAACAAAACAAGAUUUAUCUUUUAAAAACUUUUUUCCAAAAUUAGAGAUCUAAAAUCAACUAGGGUAAUUUUUAUCAUUUUGUUUUAACAUUGUGUACUAUUUGAAAUUGUUCAAGUCAUUAAACUCUAAAGAGAAACAGAAACCUUGUUAAAAGUUAAGAGUUUGUUUUUCACCAUAUGAAAACUUAACUAGCUGCUGAUGUCUAAUGUGGGUUUUGACAUUGUGUAUUAAGUGUUUGGGCAUUUUUACUAAUAGAUCUUAGCAGAGGAUUAACUAGAAGCCUUGGUUAAUGUUUACAGCAGACAACUCUUAGAGAAGGUCGAAGUACGGGGCAGUCACCUGUAUUUUAUACAACUUAAAGCAAUGAAACAUACUUUGCUGCUGCUGCUUAGUCACUUCAGUCGUGUCCGAUUCUGUGUGACCCUAUGGACUGCAGUAUGCCAGGCUCCUCUCUCCAUGGGAUUCUCUCGGCAAGAGUACUAGAAUGGGUUGCCAUACCCUCCUCCAGGGGAUCUUCCUGACCCAGGGAUCGAACCUGGGUCUCCUGCAUUGCAGGCAGAUUCUUUACUGCUGAGCCACCAGGGAAGCCUGAAACAUCUUAUCACCUGAUUAUUAAUAAGUUUAUGUUUUUCAUCUGAUAAUUACCUUCAAGUUAAUCCAAGCCUGAGAAUGUAGAUAGAGAUUUAAUAUUUUAAGCUUUUCAUGAAUUCCUUACAUGAGUGUCAAAUGCAGCACCAAUUAUGACAUGAAACUGAUAAAUCUCUUCAUCUUUGUAAAUAGUGUCUAAUGGACUGAACAAGGAAAAUCUUGACUGUUAUGAACUGAAAUGCAAAGCCAUUUAAUAACAGAUGUAAGAAGAUGUGCUUUUUUUCUAUGUGUGUUAAUGUAAAUGAGCUUUUUAUUUUAUAUACAUAAACAUAAUGAUGUAUCUAUCUCCCGGGGUUUGCUCAAACUCCUGUCCAUGGAAUCAGUGUUGCCAUCCAACCACCUCAUCUUCUAUCGUCCCCUUCUCCUGUCUUCAAUAUUUCCCAACAUCAGAGUCUUUUCCAGUGAGUCAACUCUUUCCAUCAGGUGGCCAAAGUAUUGGCGCUUCAGGCUUGGUAUCAGUCCUUCCAAUGAAUAUUCAGGGUGGAUGUCCUUUGGGAUUGACUGGUUUCAUCUCCUUUCUGUCGAAGGGACUCUCAAGAAUCUUCUCAAACACCACAAUGCAAAAGCCAUCAAUUCUUUGGUGCUCAGCCUUCUUUAUGGUCCAACUCUCACAUCCAUACAUGAAUAACCAUACUGGAAAAACCAUAGCUUUGACUAGACAGACCUUUGAUGGCAAAUAAAUGUCUCUGCUUUUUAAUAUGCUCUCUAGGUUGGCCAUAGCUUUUCUUCCAAGGAGCAAGCGACUUUUAAUUUCAUGGCUGUACUCACCGCGUUUAGUGUUAAGUAAUCUAGUUUUUUUCCUCUUCUCCCUCUGGGUCAGGCCUGUGCUAACUUGUCUUUUAGACUGAUAGCUAUCAUAAGUAUUCAUCCCAGAGGCAUUUGCUGAUUUUUAAGCAAAUACAUUCAUUUUGGCUUACUGAAAUUUAGAAUGACAGAGGUUAAGAUCACCCAGUGUGGUUGCUAAGGAUGCAAAGACCUGUACCUCAUGGCUAGAAUAUCUGAUUUACUAAAAUUGAGAUGAGGUCUCAGAAGUAUAUUUUAAUAAACACCAGUAUUUCUGACUUAAACGCGGCAUCAAUUGGAUUCAGUAUUUUCACAUAUACUGAGUUAAGGUUUAAGAAUACAGAGAAGGUUUAUAAAGUGUGUGUCCUUUUGAAAUUAUUGCUAAAGCAAUACAAAAUUCAUUGUAAGAUGUUUAAACAAUAUAGAAGAGUGUAAAGUAAAAGGGUGAAUUUCACUGUUCUUUCUCUUAAUUCCCAGGAAUCAUUAUUAACAAUUUGUUUCAGUGCACAUACAGUUAAUAUAUACUAGUAUAAGUAUACAUAUUUAAUAUAUGUAUAUAUCUAGAUAAAUACAUAUAUAUGUAUUUAAUAUAUGUAUAUAUCUAGAUGUAUAUAUCAUAUAAAUGAAACCAUAGCUAUAAACUAUACAUAGUAUACUUAUUAUUUUUUACUCCACAUGAAAGUUUGAUGUUAAUGAGUUUUGCCUAUUGCUGCUUUUAAAUACUUGCAAAAUAUUUUAAAAAAUAGACCUGGUUAAAAAUAGUCCAUGGAUUACAUGGGACGACAGAGGAUGACAUGGUUGGAUGGCAUCACUGACUCAAUGGACGUGAGUUUGAGUGAACUCCAGGAGUUGGUGAUGGACAGGGAGGCCUGGCGUGGUGCAGUUCAUGGGGUCACAAAAGAGUCGGACAUGACUGAGCAACUGAACUGAACUGAACUUACAUUAGGGUUCACUUAGUGUACAUUCUGAGGAUUUUGACAAAUAUAUAAUGACAUGUAUCUGCCAUUAUAGUAUGCAGAAUAGUUUUACUGUCCUAAAAAUCCUCUUUGCUUGGAUACCUCCCUCCCCUUCUAUUGGUAAUUACUGAUAUUUUUAUUGUCCUCAUACUUUUGUUUUUCCAGCAUGCCAUAGAAUUGGAAUCACACAGUAUGCGGCCUUUUCAGGUUGGCUUUUCUCAGUUCAGUUCAGUGAAGUCGCUCAGUCGUGUCCGACUCUUUGUGACCCCGUGGACUGUAACCUACUAGGCUUCUCCGUCCGUGGAAUUCUCCAGGCAAGAAUACUGGAGUGGAUUGCCAUUUCCUUCUCCAGGGGAUCUUCCCAACCCAGGGAUCGAACCCAGGUCUCCCGCAUUGGAGGCAGACGCUUUAACCUCUGAGCCACCAGGGAAGGCUAUAGCCUUGACUAAACAGACCUUUGUUGACAAGGUAAUGUCUCUGCUUUUUAAUAUGCUAUCUAGGUUGGUCAUAACUUUCCUUCCAAGGAGUAAGCAUCUUUUAAUUUCAUGGCUGCAAUCACCAUCUGCAGUGAUUUUGGAGCCCAGAAAAAUAAAGUCAACCACUGUUUGCACUAUUUCCCCAUCUAUUUUCAAUGAAGUGAUGGGACUGGAUGCCAUGAUCUUAGUCUUCUGAAUGUUGAGCUUUAUGCCAACGUUUUCACUCUCCUGUUUCACUUUCAUCAAGAGACUCUUUAGUUCUUCAAUUUCUGCCAUAAGGGUGGUGUCAUCUGCAUAUCUGAAGUUAUUGAUAUUUCUCCCGGCAAUCUUGAUUCCAGCUUGUGCUUCUUCCAGCCCAGCAUUUCUCAUGAUGUACUCUGCAUAUAAGUUAAAUAAGCAGGGUGACAGUAUACAGCCUUGAUGUACUCCUUUUCCUAUUUGGAACCUGUCUGAUGUUCCAUGUCCAAUUCUGUUACUUCCUGACCUGCAUACAGGUUUCUCAAGAGGCAGGUCAGGUGGUCUGGUAUUCCCAACUCUCAGAAUUUUCCAGUUUAUUGAGAUCCGCAUAGUCAAAGGCUUUGUUACAGUCAGUAAAGCAGAAAUAGAAGUUUUUUCUGGAACUUUUUUGCUUUUUCCAUGAUCCAGUGGAUGCUGGCAAUUUGAUCUCUGGUUCCUCUGCCUUUUCUAAAACCAGCUUGAACAUCUGGAAGUUCACGGUUCAUGUAUUGCUGAAGCCUGGCUUGGAGAAUUUUAAGCAUCACUUUACUAGCGUGUGAGAUGAGUGCAACUGUGCAGUAGUUUGAGCAUUUUUUGGCAUUGCCUUUCUUUGGGAUUGGAAUGAAAACGGACCUUUUCCAGUCCUGUGGCCACUACUGAAGUUUUACAGAUUUGCUGCCAUAUUCACAGAGCAUCAUCGUUUAGGAUUUGAAACAGGUCAACUGGAGUUCCAUCACCUCCACUAGCUUUGUUCGUAGUGAUGCUUCCUAAGGC
ensembl:lncRNA